AUACUUAGCUGGCCGGGGAGAUACGAUUCCAUGGUCACAAAGGUGGUUUUCUCUGGGUAUCCAGGCUUAUCCACUGCAUUCUGGACGUGCUGACUCAGUGACUUCCUCAAAUGUAGGAAACUCAGUCGCAUAGUUUGUGGUUGUGGAGGACUACUCUCCUG
rfam:Heterocephalus glaber contig180996, whole genome shotgun sequence.